GAUGAACGCUGGCGGCGUGCCUAAUACAUGCAAGUCGAGCGAACAGACGAGGAGCUUGCUCCUCUGACGUUAGCGGCGGACGGGUGAGUAACACGUUGAUAACCUACCUAUAAGACUGGGAUAACUUCGGGAAACCGGAGCUAAUACCGGAUAAUAUAUUGAACCUCAUGGUUCAAUAGUGAAAGACGGUUUUGCUGUCACUUAUAGAUGUAUCCGCGCCGCAUUAGCUAGUUGGUAAGGUAACGGCUUACCAAGGCAACGAUGCGUAGCCGACCUGAGAGGGUGAUCGGCCACACUGGAACUGAGACACGGUCCAGACUCCUACGGGAGGCAGCAGUAGGGAAUCUUCAGCAAUGGGCGAAAGCCUGACGGAGCAACGCCGCGUGAGUGAUGAAGGUCUACGGAUCGUAAAACUCUGUUAUUAGGGAAGAACAAAUGUGUAAGUAACUAUGCACGUCUUGACGGUACCUAAUCAGAAAGCCACGGCUAACUACGUG
rnacentral:rRNA from 1 species